UUCCAGACUCCUACGGGAGGCAGCAGUGGGGAAUAUUGGGCAAUGGGCGCAAGCCUGACCCAGCAAUGCCGCGUGAAGGAAGAAGGCCUUCGGGUUGUAAACUUCUUUUAUCAGGGACGAAGGAUGUGACGGUACCUGAUGAAUAAGCUCCGGCUAACUACGUGCCAGCAGCCGCGGUAAUACGGAGGAUGCGAGCGUUAUCCGGAUUUAUUGGGUUUAAAGGGUGCGCAGGCGGAUUUUUAAGUCAGCGGUCAAAUCGUGGGGCUCAACCCCAUCCAGCCGUUGAAACUGGGGAUCUAGAGUGUGCGAGAGGUAUGCGGAAUGCGUGGUGUAGCGGUGAAAUGCAUAGAUAUCACGCAGAACCCCGAUUGCGAAGGCAGCAUACCGGUGCACAACUGACGCUCAGGCACGAAAGCGUGGGUAUCGAACAGGAUUAGAUACCCGUGUAC
rnacentral:rRNA from 1 species